GUAAAGAUGCCAGAAUAUAUAUGGGCUUGGUUUAGGACCAAGUUAUGGUGUACAACCUCUUUGCU
rnacentral:tRNA from 1 species